UUCUUUUUAAUUUAGCUUCAAAAAAUUUAUUUUUGAAAAACCAAACAACAAACACUGGGACUAGCGAAUAGCGGGGCCAAUUCGGUUCGUAUUCCGAUGACUAGGAAGUAGUAUAUCCCGAGUGCGAGUGUAUUUAAUGCGCGGACAGCCGCUGUACCGUAUAAUAUACGUAUACGAGCGAAUACGACAUAGGCGUAGAGAGAUAAGGGACAUUUUCGUGAGAUAGCGAAAAAUCCGGCCUGAAUCUGCAAAAUCAAAAAAUGCCGUCUAGUUUUGCAAAAUCAUAAAACUAGUGGAUUUUUUAUGCAAAUUGGCCCAAAAAAAUCUAAGAUUAUUUCAAA
rnacentral:lncRNA from 1 species